UCCCCUCUCCAGCAUGCUGCGGAAAAGUCUGCUACUCCUAUUGAUUUUCCCUUUUUUCCCCCCUGCCUUCCCUAUCAGCACCUGCACCCCCUCCCCAUGUCCACUGUCACCUCUGCCAAGUCAUUAGGAAACAUAACUGAUAUGAUAUUCAUAGAAUACUAAAUAAACUUUACGAGGAGACGCCGUUGCAUGUUCCACCUCCCCUCACCCCCACCCAACCUUUUGAUGCAUGAGAAGCAUGUGUGAAAAAACAAAACUAAUGAUAUAAAAAUUACAAAGCACGCUCUGUGCUAUUACACCUCUAUUGAUUUGUUUUUGAGGUGCACCUAGGCUUAUAAAAGUUGCUGGAGGAGAUUAGAGAGAGAGAGAGAGAACCUACAAAGGAAGAACAGAGACUGAGACAGAAUAAAAGAAAAGAAUAUGCUUUGUUCACAGAUCUGCGCCAGAAUUACAGAUCCACGUGGAUGUUGCAAGCACUUGACAUGGAAGCAAUUCAGGCGACGCGGGCUGAGGCCUGGCCGGGAUUAAAGCUUGGGUGGAGGGAUAUUAAUGUGAAGCGGAGGGGACAAGGGCGCUCCCGUCCAAUUACUCUGUACCUAGUCGCCGCCAUCCGGCCGCAAAACAACAGAGGAGGAAAGGAUUAAUUGCCUUGGACUCUGCCCCCACUACAGGCCCAAUUAUGGAAACAUAUUGGCUCCCAGUGUUGCCACAGACACUGCUGUGCUGGGAUAUUGUGUGAAAUUUCUAACCGUUUCCAGAGGUCAGGACGAGUGGACUGAAGCAGAGGCUGAGAAAAGUGGAAAACAAGCCAAUUGAGUUGCAACGUGUCCCACACCUUAACGCGUGGAGGAAAGCAAAAACUUGGGUCUGUGGAAUUGAUGUUUGCGCACCUGCAGAGCCAUGGCGAUGGCUGCCGUUCAGACACUCUCCCAGCGUUCUGCAGCUUCGGUGACUAAGCACCCUCUCCUCUUGCCCUCGCCCUCCUCCAUGCAUACCCUAAUACACCUGGCUCUUUAGCCUGCGGCAUGAAGCGAUAAUAACAGCAGUGAGUGAGGGGUGUCCGGGUGAAGGAGGGUCCCUUCACGUAAUGGGCGAGGGCUGUCUGCUCCCGUGGACCCUCUGUUCCAGCUUCAUUGAGAUUCCAUUAGGACGGCUGUUGGGGAGUAAGUGGUUGAGGAGGAUGUCCUGCGCCGAGCCACGGGUCCCUCGGUGGGCGGAAGCAGGAGACCAGGAGAGGCAUGCUGGGACUUCAGUUCAUCAGUGUUGGAGUGCCACUGCAUUAUAGCGCGGGCCCCACAGGGGCCUCCUCAUCAUCAGACUGGAGGCCCGGUGCAUUAAUAUCACCCCCUCCCCGACUUUUCAGUACCGGGUCUUCAUCGGGGCAGUCUACAAAACAAUGGCUGAUUCAAACCGAGGCCAGCAUUUCAGCUACAUUAACAAUGUAGCCGCUGCUGAAGCAUGGGUUGAAUUAGAAUCCACCAGGGGGCAUUGUGUCUUCAGUAAUGUUCUCGCAAAUUACCGUAGCGAGGACUGGGACCACUGUGGCUAAUGUGACUCCAGUGAAAUAUUUAUAUGGGUUUUGGGAAGUGCUCUAGGUUCCAGUGAGUGGUCUGUUGGCUUCGGUGAGGAGGAGGAAGAUGAGGAAGAACCUGCCGUCGACCAGAAGAGCCCAGUCCUCGUCUUUAAUUAAGUAUCUGAAACAUCAAUUUAAAUGUAAAUAUCGGUGGCGCAGCUCCACUCAUGCGUAAAUUAGAGCGUUGGCCCGGCACAUUGCGCUCUCUCUCCCAAGUCCCCGCUCACUUACUCUGACAUCUGCUCACAUCUGCUGGGCCCCGGGCUUCCCCAACACACACACACAAAUUAAAAUCGGACUCAUUCUUGUAUCAGUCUAAAUAGUUGCAUUUACAAAUGUUGUAUGGAACAUGUUAUUUGCUUAGACUGGACAUGUACAUAAUGUCACAACUUUUU